rnacentral:rRNA from 1 species
GUCGAGGGGUAAAUGGUAGCAAUACUAUGAGACCGGCGGACGGGUGCGUAACGCGUAUGCAACAUACCUUGUGCAGGGGGAUAGCCCGUGGAAACGCGGAUUAAUAUUCCAUAGUCCAGCUAUAUCGCAUGGUAUAGUUGGUAAAGAUUUAUCGGCACAAGUUUGGCAUGCGUCUGAUUAGCUUGUUGGUAGGGUAACGGCCUACCAAGGCUACGAUCAGUAGGGGUUCUGAGAGGAUUAACCCCCACACUGGUACUGAGACACGGACCAGACUCCUACGGGAGGCAGCAGUGAGGAAUAUUGGUCAAUGGGCGGAAGCCUGAACCAGCCAUCCCGCGUGAAGGAAGACAGCCUUACGGGUUGUAAACUUCUUUUCUGUCAGAAGAAUAAGCUUGUCGAGACGAGUGAUGCCGGUAUGACAGGAAUAAGCAUCGGCUAACUCCGUGCCAGCAGCCGCGGUAAUACGGAGGAUGCAAGCGUUAUCCGGAUUUAUUGGGUUUAAAGGGUGCGCAGGUUGUUUGAUAAGUCAGUGGUGAAAGUCUGUCGCUUAACGGUAGGAUUGCCAUUGAUACUGUUGGACUUGAAUAUGGAUGAGGUAGGCGGAAUGUGUAGUGUAGCGGUGAAAUGCAUAGAUAUUACACAGAACACCGAUUGCGAAGGCAGCUUACUAAUCCAUCAUUGACGCUGA